rnacentral:rRNA from 1 species
GCUUAUGGCCAUACCACCCUGAACACACCCAAUCUCAUCUGACCUUGGAGGCUAAGUAGAGUUGGGCCCUGGUUAGUACUUGGAUGGUAGACUGCCUUGGAAUACCAGGUUCUGUAAGCC